rnacentral:rRNA from 1 species
CCUACGGGAGGCACCAGUAGGGAAUCUUCGGCAAUGGACGAAAGUCUGACCGAGCAACGCCGCGUGAGUGAAGAAGGUUUUCGGAUCGUAAAACUCUGUUGUUAGAGAAGAACAAGUAGGAGAGUAACUGCUCUUACCUUGACGGUAUCUAACCAGAAAGUCACGGCUAACUACGUGCCAGCAGCCGCGAUAAUACGUAGGUGGCAAGCGUUGUCCGGAUUUAUUGGGCGUAAAGCGAGCGCAGGCGGUCUUUUAAGUCUGAUGUGAAAGCCCUCGGCUCAACCGAGGAAGGUCAUUGGAAACUGGAGGACUUGAGUGCAGAAGAGGAGAGUGGAAUUCCAUGUGUAGCGGUGAAAUGCGUAGAUAUAUGGAGGAACACCUGUGGCGAAGGCGACUCUCUGGUCUGUAACUGACGCUGAGGCUCGAAAGCGUGGGGAGCAAACAGGAUUAGAUACCCUCGUAGUC